AUGCAGUCGAACGCGUCUUGGUUAUUGAUGUUAAGUGCUUGCAUUUAAUUGAUUUAACAUUGAGACGAGUGGCGAACUGGUGAGUAACACGUGGGUAACCUGCCCUUGAAGUAGGGGAUAACACUUGGAAACAGGUGCUAAUACCGUAUAACAACCAAAACCACCUGGUUUUGGUUUAAAAGAUGGCUUCGGCUAUCACUUUAGGAUGGACCCGCGGCGUAUUAGCUUGUUGGUAAGGUAACGGCCUACCAAGGCAAUGAUACGUAGCCGACCUGAGAGGGUAAUCGGCCACAUUGGGACUGAGACACGGCCCAAACUCCUACGGGAGGCAGCAGUAGGGAAUCUUCCACAAUGGACGAAAGUCUGAUGGAGCAACGCCGCGUGAGUGAUGAAGGGUUUCGGCUCGUAAAACUCUGUUGUUGGAGAAGAACAGGUGUGAGAGUAACUGUUCACAUCUUGACGGUAUCCAACCAGAAAGCCACGGCUAACUACGUGCCAGCAGCCGCGGUAAUACGUAGGUGGCAAGCGUUGUCCGGAUUUAUUGGGCGUAAAGCGAGCGCAGGCGGUUUCUUAGGUCUGAUGUGAAAGCCUUCGGCUUAACCGGAGAAGUGCAUCGGAAACCAGGAGACUUGAGUGCAGAAGAGGACAGUGGAACUCCAUGUGUAGCGGUGAAAUGCGUAGAUAUAUGGAAGAACACCAGUGGCGAAGGCGGCUGUCUGGUCUGUAACUGACGCUGAGGCUCGAAAGCAUGGGUAGCGAACAGGAUUAGAUACCCUGGUAGUCCAUGCCGUAAACGAUGAGUGCUAAGUGUUGGAGGGUUUCCGCCCUUCAGUACUGCAGCUAACGCAUUAAGCACUCCGCCUGGGGAGUACGACCGCA
rnacentral:rRNA from 1 species